rnacentral:lncRNA from 1 species
UAGAAAGGGGUGGGGUAGUAAGGACAAGCUGCUUUCUCAGCAGCUCUAAGCACCUUUUCCUGAGGUGACAGCAGGAAAAGGAAAGGGAAAAAAAAGGAAGAGGGGCUGGACAAAGAGAGAUGCAAGGUGAGGGCAGGGGACAGCAGAAGCAGGAACGUGGGAGCUGUUGUCACGGGCCAAGGUGGGACACUCAGGUCAGGUCAGUGGCAGUGCCCCCGCCCAGCUCCUGAGGCCUAGUUCUCCAGCCUUAAGAGCCUAGACUAGGAAUUCUUGUCCUGGCUCAGUGGUAACAAAGCCGACUAGUAUCCAUGAGGACAUGGGUUCGAUCCCUGGCCUUGCUCAGUGGCUUAAAUGAUCCAGCAUUGCCACAUGGUGUGGUGUAGGUCACAGACAUGGAUCAGAUCUGGCGUGGCCGUGGCUUGUGGCUGUGGUAUAGGCUGGCAGCUGCAGCUCCAAUUCAACCCCUAGCCUGCGAACCUCCAUAUGCAGCAGGUGCGGCUCUGAAAAAAAAAAAAAAGAGUCUAGGCCAGAAGCAGAGGUUCUUAUUCCGCUGUGGGUGCCCCUCUGCCUUUCCCUGAGCCUGAACUGCUCACACUCACUAUCACCUCCCUCACCCGCCCCACCUGCUGCCAGCAUCAUUCCACAAACCAGUCCCUGGCACAGCACACCCGCCACCCCAUCGCACACUCGUUUCCACACCACUUGGGCCACACGAAUAAUACUUAGCACCACACACACCACCAGCUCAAGAGGUGUUCUCUCUAAGAGCCCACUGCUCGUGCCCAGGGUUCAGAUCCCCUUUCUCCCAUAGUGACAAUGUUUAGGUGGCCUGGGGCUGCCCAGAGUAGAGGCCCCAUCCCCCACCUGCCCUCGCAGCCUGGUAUGGCCGUGUGGCUCAAUUCUGGCCAACGUGGAGGCGUGUCCAGGACACCCUUCCUUUCUCUGAGCCACGCGGACAGACUGGGCCAUCACAUGAUGGAAAGAGCCCAGGCCGCUUCCAGCGACAGGACGUUCUGAUGACCACGUGGUGGCUUAAACGAAGCAGAGCCACCAAUCCAGGCUGGACUUUAUGGGAGAGAGAGAGAGAGUAGUAAAGCCACUGUCAUGACCAGGUCUCUGUCCCACACUCUAACUCGCGCGAAGCCAAGUUCUCGGUCAGCAGGUGUGUCUGGGGUCCUAGGCCUCCCCCAGACUAAGCUCGGCAGCCAGAAGAUGAAGCCUCAGCUCACGUGUCUGGAUCAAAUGGGUCCCCGUUGACCCAGUGGAAUUCGUCCCCAACUCUGCGCAGGCCAAUCCAGGGCUCUCUCCGUGUGAACUUGAACAUGAAUUCCUGCACCAAGGGAAGCCAGAAACCCCAGAGUCAGGUGCCAUCUCUGACUGCUCAUACCUCCCCAGACAUACCCCAGCUUGGAAAACCGGCUCCUAAGGUGUGUAGACACUGAAAGGGUGAUGCCUCCCUGCAUCCCAAGAAUGAGGAGCUGAGGUUCCAGACACCCCCCUCUCACGGUGGGCCACUUGCCAUGGCCUCUAAGGGCCCCAGGCUCCAGAAACACACUGUGGGGCCAGGAAGCCUGGAACAGGCUGGUCCUCCUGGCUCAGCGGUCCAGCCAUCCCAAUUCUCAGGAAGCCUGGGGUUGCCGACUUGACGGGUUAUCUGGGACACCUCUCAAAGCUCGGGCUGGAUGUGCUCCUAGCUGCAUCUUCCCAGGCCUCUCUCUGCAGAAGAGGGCUACUGAAGUGCCUACCAGACCAACAGCAGCGACUGUGAGCUCAUCUGCUGUUUCGGAUUGCACGACCUGUUACCUUCAAGAUCCAAAAUGGCCAAGAGACCCGUUAAUUGUGUUCUUUGCACAUUUCCAGUGACGGAACUGUCUGGGGUGUCGGAGGGAUCAGGCCCGGAUUUGGACUCAGAGAAGGUGCCAAUGCAAUUUGACAUUUCUCAGGGCAUUGAGACUGUGUGAGGCUCGCACUUGACCAAAUUGAGUUCAGCAAACCAGCCUCGGAUACGAAACAGCUGGCGUGGACAGUAGCAGGUAGCUGUGCAAACAGGUGCCCUCACAGACCGGUUCCCACCCCAUGGAGUCCACCUGCAACCCCCUCCCAGGCUGUGCUCUGGAAAUAGGUCACUGGGGACACCGCGUGUCCUUGGGACGUGGCCGGCCACACUCACCAGCUCCUUCUGGCUCUGAAUCACAGCCAGCACGGCGUCGUGGGUGCGGCAGUACUGCCUGCCCGUGUUCCAAUCUCUCGGUUCCUCAGAAAAGAAGUAGCAUUUCCUCCCGUAUAGCAGCCAGUCCUCCGGACAGGGCGCCUCACACUUGAUGCAGCCCUUGGAAGCUGCAGGGAAGAGAAGGGCUCCGUGUCCACCUGCACAGCGGGCCUCACCCCCCCACCCCCCAGAAGCCCACUUUGCGCCCCACUGCUCCCUCCGCCUGUCUCAACUUUGGUGCUCAUCAGCCACAUGCCUCAGGGGAGCCCCUGGCGAUGCCCGGCAGGUAAAAGGCCGGGGGUGAAAUAAGCAGAAUCGAAAUAAGCAGAAUCACACCACCCCAAGGGGAAGCGACAGCAGAUCAGCCCCUGGGUUGAGCGCUCCUCUUCCUCUUCCUCUUCCAGCUCCCUGAGCUGGGGAACCUGAGAAUCUGGGCCUCGGAAAAAGGACCUGGAGGCCAUGCAUUCCUCCCUCUCUGGCCAAGGUGGGACCCUCUCACUGGCCACACCCUCACCAGCUAAUGAUGCUGAACUGCUGGAAAGUUCUUUUUCAGUUUUGAGUCCUAACCUGCCUUCCUGUGACCUAGACCUGCAGGUCCAGGAUCUGCCUCGAGAGUGACUCGGGGCAAACCGGGUCUUCCAGCGCCUACCUGAGGAAGGACCCUGGGCUCUCCUUUAGCCGGAUUGAACAAACACUGUUUCGGCCACAAUUCCUUGCGGAGGUUGCUCUCCAGACCCCUCUCCAUCCCGCCUGGCUCCCUGUGCCCACGUUACCACCAAGACGCUGCCACCACCACAGACGGACGUGUCAGCUGUGGCCCGCCGCAGCGGCAGCAGGCUUGCCAGGGUGCAGGUGCUCUGAUGAGAAUCUUGAGCACCUGCACACGUGUGCUUUUCUGGGAAGGGAGCCUGGAGCUUCCAUCCGAUUCUCAGAGGGCCUCCGUGUCAAAAGGAAUUCGUCCUUCUCUUUGGCUGUUUUCCUACGAUCUCUUUCCAAGCCAGCUUCCCCCGGCCCCCGGCCAGAACGUGUAUAAAACCACCUUUAAAGCCAAAGGCAGGCGCUUAUGUUUAUUUCUUCCUCGGUCAUCUCAUUUACAUGGGCUCAUUUGAGGUUUUUUGUUUUGUCUUUUGUCUUUUCUAGGGCUCCUGGGAACCUCCACAUGCCCCAGGUGCGGCCCUAAAAAGCAGCAGCAGCAAAAAAAAAAAAAGAUUGCAGAGAUCCUAAAAUCAAUUUGCAAAACCCUUCAGAACCCAGGACAUACUCUGACUUGAAUCCAUGAGAAGCAGCCAAAUCCCCUGGUCAUGGAGCCUUGCCUGCCUUCCUUAGUAGCUGUGUUACUCCUCCUUCAGCCCUUUCCCUCGCGCCACGCCGCCCCUCGGUGCUUCUCAGCCCUCUCCCCCUUGGAAUGUUCUGUUCCCUCUCCCUCUGGGUCCCUAGGAACCUAUUCCUUCCUACUCAGGGUUUAGUACAUGUGAUCCCCACUCUGGGAAGCCACUCAGGCAGCAACACCUCCAUCACUGGACAGGGGAGUUGAUAUUCUAAAUUUAAAAAAAAAAAAUCUCCAGCACUUUGCCCAGGGUCUAACACACAGUCGGAGCUCAAUAAAAUGUUUGUCGAGUGACUACAUGUGAUCUUUAAGGCCCUUAAAGAUCCCCAGAUCAUCUUUAAGAAGCACUGCCCGCCCCACACACACCAAGUUUGUUCUGAGUUCUCGCCAGCAUUUUGGUGGCUGUACCUAAGUAACAGCUCAGCUCCCCUUUGGCUGCAGGGCUUAGGAAAGGGGACGGGUAGAGUCGACGUGUGAAUGCGUCAUGUUAGGCGAAGAUCUCGUGUAGAACCAGCACUCUGCUCUCCAUCUACCUUGUCCCCCCACAGCACUGGUGGCACGUCUAGAACCUUCCUUUACCUAACGAGACAUGCUUUUGACAAGCUGUGUAGAAGCCGAAUUGCGUAAAUGCUCUGACAGCCAUGCUCACCCAAGAUGCUCAUCACCACCAGGAUAGCAAACAGAAGGACGGCGAUGGCCCCCAGCAGGAGACGCGUGGUGGUGUCUGCGGAGAGAGAAAGCAGUUGAAUGCCCGCCCCAGCUGCCAGCCCCAAGUCCCGAGAGCGAGAACCUCUGGGGCAUUCCGUGUUUUCACCCUCGGAGUGGGUCUGAUGCUGAAGUCUGAGCACAGAUCCGGCUGAUGCUGCGAUUCCCCUGCUGAAAAACCCGCCUCCAGGGCCAUGCACUUGACCUCCUUCUGUGACUGUCGCCGCUGUCCGAUCCCCAGCCUCCAGCUGCUUCUCUACCUCAUCCCUAGU